rnacentral:rRNA from 1 species
UACGGAGGGUGCGAGCGUUGUCCGGAAUCACUGGGCGUAAAGAGCGUGUAGGCGGCCAUGUAGGUCCGUUGUGAAAACUCGAGGCUCAACCUCGAGACGGCGAUGGAAACCAUGUGGCUAGAGUCCGGAAGAGGAGAGUGGAAUUCCUGGUGUAGCGGUGAAAUGCGCAGAUAUCAGGAAGAACACCCGUGGCUAAGGCGGCUCUCUAGUACGGUACUGACGCUGAGACGCGAAAGCGUGGGGAGCGAACAGG